CGAAUCUGCCUUUAAUAGGGAAGGUAUUGUUCAACAGUCUUUCGUAUUCGAAAUGCGGUAGUGUAGACCUGCUACGGAAUAGUUAUCUAUUUAAACGUUACAAUUUUUGUGUUUAGCAAGUGUUUGAGCAAUUGAAUCCUCCUCUGAUACACUUCGUGAUACACAAAGAAGCUUAUUCCAGUCACGCAAUUCUUCAUAAAUUCUUUUCCAUGCUGUUAUGGCGACAACUCCUAUUUAUAAUAAAACUACCAUGGGAUAAUUGCCUCGUGACGGUUUAUUCCCACGAGAACGCGUAGUUUCGGCACGUAGUUAUCUCUGCGGACGCUACAGUCUUCGCUUCUGCUGAUUUCCUUCCCAAGUGUGUUACGGUUUCAUCCACCUGCUGAUACGAUCUCCCAACGAGCGUUGCAGUUUUACGUUUUGCUGAUAAUGAGUCGAACUCUUCUCGGCACGUGGUUAUCUCUGCUCGCGGUGAUACUCGACCCUUUGGCGCGUCGCAGCUGCUUCCCUCUGCUGACUUUACCUGAGAACAUCAUCGUCCCUCAGCACUGCACUGUGUACUAUGGUGGGGAGAGCGCGCGCAAGGCAGAGAGCAUCAGCGGACGUCUCAAUGUUACGCCAACUCUGAACCGCGCAACACCUAUCCCUACGUAGUCUUCGAUAUAACGAAGUAUCUCUGCGAAAUUUCUUGAAGUGUUUAACGAUUCGUAACGAGUAUUUUACAAUGUGCAUCAACCUUUGCAACGGGGAAGAAGUACAAGCAAAUUAUGGUCUUUUGAAUAUGAUAAUUCCAAGACAACUGACACGCCAUGUUGACCUACCUAGAUAUUAUUGUUUGAUACGAGUCGCACCUGCCUACCGCACCAACGACUAUUCACUUUGUGGAUUUUGUUACAGAAAUUUACUUAUGAUGGAAGCGGACGUACGGAUGUACGAAGAAGCAAAUUAUCAUAGCAUUUGCGGAGUCUCAGGCCGCGCACGUGUCCUUCGUUGCGGCUCAUGCGAAAAACGAAUAGGACUCAGGUAGCUUCCAACUCGCAGUUAACAACGAAGCAAGUAACGGAAAAAUCUAAUAUCAGUACGAGUGUUUCAAGUGUUCUUCGAGUUCUACUAUUCUGCAAAAAUAUCAAGUGGCUAAAAUUGAAAAAGAAACCUUUGUUAACAACGAAACAUAAAGUAGAACGUUUACGCUUUGCAAAAGAAUGAAUGCAUUGGAAAAAGAAAUGGAGAAGGGUACUAUUUUCAAACGAAAAAUAUUUAACUUGGAUGGUCCUGAUGGGUUCCAAUAUUAUUUUCAUGACACAAGAAAAGAGACAAUGCCAGCAAUUCGACGACAUAUGGGAAAAAGGAGCGUGAUGGUUUAAACCGGCAUCGGUUAUUUCGGCAAAACAAGUAUCAAGUUCAUCGAUGGGAAAAUGAAUAGUGUUCGAUACAUAAAUUUAAUCGAAGAACAAAUAAAUAAUCACGCAGAACGCAUUUCUGGAGCUGAUUACAUCUUUCAGCAAGAGAAUGUAUCUGUACACACAUCAAGAUUGGUCCAAUCAUACUUUAAUGAAAAUAAUAUAUCUAAUUUGCCGUGGACCGCACGCUCCUCGGACCUGAAUAUUAUUGAAAAUUGCUGGGCAGAACUUGUUCACGGCGUAUAUGCGAAUGGAAAGCAGUAUCAACACGUACAAGAAUUAAAAAAUGCAAUUGUACGCAAAUGGGAUACGUUAAGUCAAAAUUAUAUCCAGAAUCUAUAUAAAUCGAUAGCAAAUCGUACAAUAGAAUAGAAAAUAAAGGAGGAUGUACCCGUUAUUAAAUAAGUGUAUAUGUUUGAUAAACGAAAAACUUUACACGCGCCAUUGAAUAAUUAAAGAUAGCACACCUGGGCUAUCUUUUUGGCGAGGGGUGUAUAUGUGUAUACGAAACUGACUAUAUCAUCUAUAACAUAUUUACAUCUUGUAAUUAGAUAGAUCUUGCACAGCGUAUUAUCGAUGAAGUCUCUGGGGAUUAUUUUUAGCGCAUGAAAUCGAUCAAGUAAUAAUGGAAGAUCGCUAGUCCAGAAGUUUCAGAGCAUCAUGAUUUUCCACAGUUGGAUCAUUUCAGUGGAUCAUUUCAGUUCGAGUGGACGGAUUCCAUCUGUUGGCAAUUUUAAUCAUUUAAAAAUAAGUAUUACAUUGAAUAUGCUUUCCUUCGCUCAAGAUUAACGCGUAAUCUUACUUCUCCUUUCUUUCUCUCGGAGAUUGUUUCUUUAGGAGAAAUCUUUAAAAGCAGCUUCACCGGAAUAUGUUAUAUAAAUUCGCAGCGGCUUAAACAACAGUGGCGUCCAUAUAGAAGUUGGCACACAAACGCACCUAUUAUGCAGCUCCAAAAAGAAAGAGAAGGAAAAAGAUGGAAAUAGGAUAUCCAAUGGUGUAUCUGGAAUAUCUACACGCAGCAAUGGAUGCUAUGUACCCUUCAUCUGAUUGCGAUACACAAAUGUAUUAUAAAUAAUAAAUAUAUAAUUAAAUAUAUGUGGCGACACUCGACCUCGGAAAUUUCCAACGGUAUCGCGGCACGAGGCGCUUUAUCUUAAAAGCGCUAUGCCGACGAGCCUUAGGUGUCUCGAUAUCCCUACGGCUCCUUCGCCGAACUUUUGGGAGACCGCACACGUGGCAGUUGUCACGACUGGCAUACUUCAAAUCCGAUGGACCGAUGAUGGAGAUAGAGAUGUGGCGGUCUUGGCGACAAUGUAUAUCGCCGAAGUGCUUAAUGAGUCAUCUGUAUCCCA